rnacentral:rRNA from 1 species
CCUACGGGGGGCUGCAGUGGGGGAUAUUGCACAAUGGAGGCAACUCUGAUGCAGCGACGCCGCGUGAGGGAAGAAGGUCUUCGGAUUGUAAACCUCUGUCUUUGGGGAAGAAAAUGACGGUACCCAACGAGGAAGCUCCGGCUAACUACGUGCCAGCAGCCGCGGUAAUACGUAGGGAGCGAACGGUGUCCGGUAUUACUGGGUGUAAAGGGAGCGUAGGCGGGCGAGAAAGUUGAAUGUUAAAUCUACCGGCUAAACUGGUAGCUGCGUUCAAAACUUCUUGUUUUGAGUGAAGUAGAGGCAGGUGGAAUUCCUAGUGUAGCGGUGAAAUGCGUAGAGAUGAGGAGGAACACCAGUGGCGAAGGCGGCCUGCUGGACUUUAACUGACGCUGAGGCUCGAAAGCGUGGGGAGCAAACAGGAUUAGAUACCCGGGUAGUC